rnacentral:lncRNA from 1 species
UCAAUUCAUUUAACCCCAAGGUGUUUGGUCAAACGUAAGCCUGCUAGGAGGGCUUCAUAUUCGGCCUCAUUGUUCGACGCCUUGAAUUUGAAACGAAGAGCAUACUCCAUUUCAUCGCCACGUUGUCAGGGGUCGUAAGGACUAGUCCUGCUCCACAACCCUGUUGGUUGGAUGAACCAUGAACAUAUAGACUCCAUGUUAGGGCUGUUGGUUCUAUUUUCUAAGCUUCCGAGGGUAAUGAACCCAUUUUUUAGGCGUAGAAACAAUGUCAAUAGGAUAUGUGAAGUCGAUGAUGAAGUCUGCCACUGCUUGGCCCUUCUCAGCUGGUUUUGGUUGGUAGGAGAUGUUAAACUCACCCAAUGCUAUCACCCAUUUGAUCAUUCGCCCGAAAGUGUCAGGACUUCGGAGUAUCUGUCGAAGAGGAUGAUUGGUAAGCACGAUGAUGAAGUGUGCUUAGAAGUAAGGGCGAAGUUUUCGAGCAGACAUGACCAAUGCUAGAGCCAAUUUCUCAAUGUUGGAGUAUCGUGUCUCCACAUCUUGUAAGGCCUUGCUUGUUGGAAAUGUGCCCUAAAACCAAUCAUGUGAUGAUACUUUACGGACAUUUCACAUGUUAAACUAAUCUAGUU